GGACCGACGGGAGCUUGCUCCCUUAGGUCAGCGGCGGACGGGUGAGUAACACGUGGGUAACCUGCCUGUAAGACUGGGAUAACUCCGGGAAACCGGGGCUAAUACCGGAUGCUUGAUUGAACCGCAUGGUUCAAUUAUAAAAGGUGGCUUUUAGCUACCACUUACAGAUGGACCCGCGGCGCAUUAGCUAGUUGGUGAGGUAACGGCUCACCAAGGCAACGAUGCGUAGCCGACCUGAGAGGGUGAUCGGCCACACUGGGACUGAGACACGGCCCAGACUCCUACGGGAGGCAGCAGUAGGGAAUCUUCCGCAAUGGACGAAAGUCUGACGGAGCAACGCCGCGUGAGUGAUGAAGGUUUUCGGAUCGUAAAACUCUGUUGUUAGGGAAGAACAAGUACCGUUCGAAUAGGGCGGUACCUUGACGGUACCUAACCAGAAAGCCACGGCUAACUACGUGCCAGCAGCCGCGGUAAUACGUAGGUGGCAAGCGUUGUCCGGAAUUAUUGGGCGUAAAGCGCGCGCAGGCGGUUUCUUAAGUCUGAUGUGAAAGCCCCCGGCUCAACCGGGGAGGGUCAUUGGAAACUGGGGAACUUGAGUGCAGAAGAGGAGAGUGGAAUUCCACGUGUAGCGGUGAAAUGCGUAGAGAUGUGGAGGAACACCAGUGGCGAAGGCGACUCUCUGGUCUGUAACUGACGCUGAGGCGCGAAAGCGUGGGGAGCGAACAGGAUUAGAUACCCUGGUAGUCCACGCCGUAAACGAUGAGUGCUAAGUGUUAGAGGGUUUCCGCCCUUUAGUGCUGCAGCAAACGCAUUAAGCACUCCGCCUGGGGGAGUACGGUCGCAAGACUGAAACUCAAAGGAAUUGACGGGGGCCCGCACAAGCGGUGGAGCAUGUGGUUUAAUUCGAAGCAACGCGAAGAACCUUACCAGGUCUUGACAUCCUCUGACAACCCUAGAGAUAGGGCUUCCCCUUCGGGGGCAGAGUGACAGGUGGUGCAUGGUUGUCGUCAGCUCGUGUCGUGAGAUGUUGGGUUAAGUCCCGCAACGAGCGCAACCCUUGAUCUUAGUUGCCAGCAUUCAGUUGGGCACUCUAAGGUGACUGCCGGUGACAAACCGGAGGAAGGUGGGGAUGACGUCAAAUCAUCAUGCCCCUUAUGACCUGGGCUACACACGUGCUACAAUGGGCAGAACAAAGGGCAGCGAAGCCGCGAGGCUAAGCCAAUCCCACAAAUCUGUUCUCAGUUCGGAUCGCAGUCUGCAACUCGACUGCGUGAAGCUGGAAUCGCUAG
rnacentral:rRNA from 1 species